ACCCAACAGCUAGCCCCCCCCCACCAAAAGCAACAGACCCUUAUUUAUAACCCCACACCCACCAAAACUUACCAAACAAACCAUUUUUCCCCCCUUAGUAUGGGAGACAGAAAAGGAACAAAAGGCGCAAUAGAGAAAGUACCGCAAAGGGAAAGCUGAAAGAGAAAUGAAACAACCCAUUUAAAGACUAUUAAAGCAGAUAUGGCCUCUCGUACUUUUGCCAUCAUGAUUUAGCUAGCAAAGUCCAAGCAAAGCGAACUUUAGUUUGACUCCCCGAAACUAGGUGAGCUACUCCAAGACAGCCUAAUUAUAGGGCCAACCCUUCUCUGUGGCAAAAGAGUGGGAAGAUCUUCGAGUAGAGGUGAUAAACCUACCGAACCUAGUAAUAGCUGGUUGCCUGAGAAUUGGAUAGGAGUUCAGCCUUUUGGUACUUCUCCCUUCACCCUGUUUAUAACCCAAGUGAUAGCAUAAGAAACCAAAAGAGUUAGUCAAAGGGGGUACAGCCCCUUUGAACCAAGACACAACUUUCCCAGGAGGAUAAAGAUCACACACAACAAAGGACAACCUGUUUUAGUGGGCCUAAAAGCAGCCAUCCACAUGAAAAGCGUUAAAGCUUAGACAUUCUUUCCCAGUCCCCCGAUCCUGAUAAUUUUAUCUUAACCCCUGGCGCACAUUAGGCCGUCCCAUGCCCCCAUGGGAGCGACCAUGCUAAUAUGAGUAAUAAGAGGAUUAUGCCCCUCUCCCCGCACAUGUGUAAGUCGGAACGAACCCCCACCGAGUAUUAACGGCCCCAAAAGAAGAGGGUACUGGACAGUAUACAAAUCAACUAGAAGAAAUCCAGCAUACACCGUUAACCCCACACUGGCGUGCCCAAAGGGAAAGACUAAAAGAAAAAGAAGGAACUCGGUCAACACCUAAAGCCUCGCCUGUUUACCAAAAACAUCGCCUCUUGCAAGAAUAAGGAAUACAGGUCCCGCCCUGCCCUGUGACUAUAUGUUUAACGGCCGCGUAUUUUUGACCGUGCGAAGGUGCGCAAUCCCUUGUACUUUUAAAUGGAGACCUGUAUGAAUGGCAUAACGAGGGCUUGACUGUCUCCUUUUUCAGGUCAAUGAAAUUGAUCUCCCCGUGCAGAAGCGGGGAUCCCCCCAUAAGACGAGAAGACCCUAUGGAGCUUUAGACACAAGGCAGAUUAUGUUAAACAGCCCUCAACAAAGGACAAAACAAAGUAGACCCUGCCCUAAUGUCUUUGGUUGGGGCGACCGCGGGGAAGUAUAAAACCCCCAUGUGGAAUGGGAAGACCCAUCCUACAACCAAGAGCUCCCGCUCUAAGUACCAGAAUUUCUGACCAAACAGAUCCGGCAAUGCCGAUCAACGAACCGAGUUACCCUAGGGAUAACAGCGCAAUCCCCUUUUAGAGUUCAUAUCGACAAGGGGGUUUACGACCUCGAUGUUGGAUCAGGACAUCCUAAUGGUGCAGCCGCUAUUAAGGGUUCGUUUGUUCAACGAUUAAAGUCCUACGUGAUCUGAGUUCAGACCGGAGUAAUCCAGGUCAGUUUUCUAUCUAUGCUAUGCUCUUUUCUAGUACGAAAGGACCGAGAAGAAGAGGCCCAUGCUUGAGGUACGCCUCCCCCUCAUUUGAUGAAAGCAACUAAAAUGAAUAAGAGGGCAUAAUCCACAUGUCUAAGAACAUGAUAU
rnacentral:rRNA from 1 species